rnacentral:rRNA from 1 species
AGAGUUUGAUCCUGGCUCAGGAUGAACGCUAGCGGCAGGCUUAACACAUGCAAGUCGAGGGGCAGCGCGGGGCGGCAACGUCCUGGCGGCGACCGGCGGAAGGGUGCGUAACGCGUGAGCGACAUGCCCGUUGCCCGGGGACAACCGGUGGAAACGCCGACUAAUCCCCGAUGGGAUACGAUGCUUCAUGGCAUUGUAUUGAAAGUUACGGCGGCGACGGAUUGGCUCGCGUCCGAUUAGCUUGUUGGCGGGGUAACGGCCCACCAAGGCUACGAUCGGUAGGGGUUCUGAGAGGAAGGCCCCCCACAAUGGGACUGAGACACGGCCCAUACUCCUACGGGAGGCAGCAGUGAGGAAUAUUGGUCAAUGGGCGGAAGCCUGAACCAGCCAUGCCGCGUGCGGGAAGGAGGCCCUAUGGGCUGUGAACCGCUUUUGCCUGGGGGCAAUAAGGGCGCCGGGCGCGCCCGAUGAGAGUACCAGGCGAAUAAGCAUCGGCUAACUCCGUGCCAGCAGCCGCGGUAAUACGGGGGAUGCGAGCGUUAUCCGGAUUCAUUGGGUUUAAAGGGUGCGUAGGCUGUGCGUCAAGUCGGGGGUGAAAUUCCGGUGCUCAACACCGGGGCUGCCCUUGAUACUGUCGCGCUGGAGUGCGGAUGCCGCCGGAGGAAUGAGUGGUGUAGCGGUGAAAUGCUUAGAUAUCACUCAGAACACCGAUUGCGAAGGCAUCUGGCGAAUCCGUAACUGACGCUGAGGCACGAAAGCGUGGGGAUAGAACAGGAUUAGAUACCCUGGUAUUCCACGCCGUAAACGAUGAUGGCUAACCGCCGGCGACACACUGUCGGUGGCCAAGCGAAAGCGAUAAGCCAUCCACCUGGGGAGUACGUCGGCAACGAUGAAACUCAAAGGAAUUGACGGGGGCCCGCACAAGCGGAGGAACAUGUG